rnacentral:lncRNA from 1 species
AGAUAAGCAGCAGAGCACAGUGGCUGAGAGCAUGGGUGCUGGUGCCUGAUGACCUGGGUUCAAAUCCUACUUAGAUGUCACAUGACCCUGGGACACUUAUGUAACUGCUGUGUCUCAGUUAACUGCACUGUCAUAUGAAAACUUGAAGGGCCCAUGUAUUACUAUUAUAUUAUAAGGCUGUCACUAUUAAAAACAAGUACAGCUUUAAGACCAAGUGCUGAUUUAGCACAAAUGCUCAAUAAGACUUCAGUUAUUAAAUGUCUGAAGAAUAGGUUACUCAUGGCUAGUGGUUGACUACAGAGAGGCUACUUGGAGGGCUACAGACAGGGGAGGAUGGAAGCUUAUUCUCCAUGCUUUACAUGGGAAGGAUGCCCACAGCUCAUGGAGAAUGUCUGUUUUCAUCUCCUGUGAUCCCCAUUGUAAUCCUAUGUGUGGUGUGGAACAGGAGGCAUAACACACAUUUUUCAGUUGAAGGCAAUUAAAUUCAGAGAGGUUAAGUGACCUGUCCAGAGUCACAACACUGAUGAAUGAGAGAUCUGAGGCAGGAAUGUAGUUGGUUCCCUGGGUACAGAAUUCUGAAAACCUGAGCCCAGUAGAUCACACCCCAGAUGCCUGAACCAAGAGCCCCCUUCAUUCUCUUCCUCAAAACAACCUGAUGAAAGGUUUCUGUGGGGAAAAAGUUGAUGCCCUGGAUGAUGUGUCCAAACCAAAAUAAAGGGCCCUUUCUAUUUAUGGUGCCUAAAUCCAUAAUCCAGCCUCCUGCAUCCACAUUUCAAUCCCUUAUCCAAAUAUGAAGCAAUUUACCUGAAUUAAAGCCCCUCAGAAAGAAAAGGGAUGUUCAAACUUGUGUUCAACCUUCCCCAGCAAGUUCACACUGUCAUCGGCAUCCUUGUGAGCCUUCCUGACGGUUACUGGACCACCCUGAGUGACCAGUGUCUGUUUGGUUCUCUAACUGCCUCAGAACCAAGGGCAUUCUAAAGCAACUGUCACAUAAUGGUUCUGACAAGAACUAGCUUCCAGUCAACUGACCAACCCUGGAUGAGCAGUUAAGGUGGCUGGAGUCAGGGUGGCAUUCUAGACAAAAGCCAGCAGGAUAGGAAUUCAGACAAGACACAGUAGGGAUGGCUCCUUUCUGCUCUAUGAUGUUGGGACCUCAGCAGAGAAGACUCCCUGGCUGGGCCUGACUGGACAUUCAGGUACUGGAAUCCUCUGGAAGUGACUUCACUCCCAAGUCUGUAGUUGAUGCUGGAUUUGGUUGUAGGACCUACAGGAGACCUCCCCCAGUGACCUGAGUUUCUCCACAGCAGGGCAGUCUCAGGGCAUUCAGAUCUCUUAUUUGGUGGCUAAGGGCUUCACAGGGGAGCGACCUAAGUGAUCAGGCAGAAGCUAUGGUAUUUCAAACAUAAUUUUAAACAUGACACAUUGUCAUUUCUGGCAUGACUGUCAGUGACAAGGAGCACUAGAGUCAGCUCUGCAUACAGGGAGGGGCCUAGACCCCAACUCUCAAUGGGAGGAGUGUCAGGUUGUAACAAAGCCCUCUCCCUGUAGUGUCAGUACAAACCUUGUGGGUGCCUGGAUUCCAACUCCUCCCCCAGCAGUGAAGAGCUGCCCCUCCCCACCCCACAGGGGUAGACACAGAGCAGUGCAGAGUGAGGACCUUCAUCAUUGCCAUGUGGUAAUGAGCUGCUCUGCCCUCCUAGUGUCAGUGUAGGCACAUCUGAAUCAAUAAGGA